AUACGGAGGAUCCGAGCGUUAUCCGGAUUUAUUGGGUUUAAAGGGUGCGCAGGCGGCCAUUUAAGUCAGCGGUUAAAUCGUAGGGCUCAACCCCAUUCUGCCGUUGAUACUGGGUGGCUUGAUUGCGGUCGAGGUUGGCGGAAUUCGUUGUGUAGCGGUGAAAUGCAUAGAUAUGACGAAGAACACCGAUUGCGUAGGCAGCUGACCAGACCGCAAAUGACGCUCAUGCACGAAAGUGCGGGGAUCGAACAGGAUUAGAUACCCUGGUAGUCCGCACAGUAAACGAUGAAUACUUGUUUUCGGCGAUAUAAUGUCGGAGGCAAAGCGAAAGCGAUAAGUAUUCCACCUGGGGAGUACGCCGGCAACGGUGAAACUCAAAUGAAUUGGCGGGG
rnacentral:rRNA from 1 species